rnacentral:rRNA from 1 species
GAUGAUCGCUGGCGGCGUGUCUAAGGCAUGCAAGUCGUGCGGAUUUCAUUUGGUAGCAAUACCGAGUGAAGUCAGCGGCAAACGGGUGCGUAACACAUUGGUGACCUGCCUCACAGUCGGGCAUAACUCUCCGAAAGGAGAGCUAAUUCCACGAUGGUCUCCGGGAUCGAAUCCGGAGUAAAGCGCAAAACGCGCUGUGAGAGGGGCCUAUGGCCUAUCAGCUAGUUGGCGGGUAAAGCCCACCAAGGCUAUGACGGUAGGGAUGUGAGAGCAUGAUCCCCCUACUGGGACUGAGACACUGCCCAGACACCUACGGGUGCUGCAGUCGAGAAUAUUCCUCAAUGGGCGAAAGCCUGAAGGAGCGACGCCGCGUGCAGGGAUGAAGGGCUUCGGCUCGUAAACUGCUUUUUCCAGGGAAGAACAUUGACGGUUACCUAGGGAAUAAGGAGGUUGCUAACUCUGUGCCAGCAGCCGCGGU